CGCAGCUAACGCACUAAGUUGACCGCCUGGGGAGUACGGCCGCAAGGUUAAAACUCAAAUGAAUUGACGGGGGCCCGCACAAGCGGUGGAGCAUGUGGUUUAAUUCGACGCAACGCGAAGAACCUUACCUGGCCUUGACAUCCUGCGAACUUUCUAGAGAUAGAUUGGUGCCUUCGGGAACGCAGUGACAGGUGCUGCAUGGCCGUCGUCAGCUCGUGUCGUGAGAUGUUGGGUUAAGUCCCGUAACGAGCGCAACCCCUAUCCUUGGUUGCUAGCAGUUCGGCUGAGAACUCCAGGGAGACUGCCGGUGACAAACCGGAGGAAGGUGGGGAUGACGUCAGGUCAUCAUGGCCCUUACGGCCAGGGCUACACACGUGCUACAAUGGCGCGCACAGAGGGCUGCAAACCCGCGAGGGUAAGCCAAUCUCUUAAAACGCGUCGUAGUCCGGAUCGCAGUCUGCAACUCGACUGCGUGAAGUCGGAAUCGCUAGUAAUCGCGAAUCAGAAUGUCGCGGUGAAUACGUUCCCGGGCCUUGUACACACCGCCCGUCACACCAUGGGAGUGGAUUGCACCAGAAGUGGUUAGUCUAACCUUCGGGAGGACGAUCACCACGGUGUGGUUCAUGACUGG
rnacentral:rRNA from 1 species